rnacentral:rRNA from 1 species
GACGAACGCUGGCGGCGUGCUUAACACAUGCAAGUCGAACGGAAAGGCCCUGCUUUUGUGGGGUGCUCGAGUGGCGAACGGGUGAGUAACACGUGAGUAACCUGCCCUUGACUUUGGGAUAACUUCAGGAAACUGGGGCUAAUACCGGAUAGGAGCUCCUGCUGCAUGGUGGGGGUUGGAAAGUUUCGGCGGUUGGGGAUGGACUCGCGGCUUAUCAGCUUGUUGGUGGGGUAGUGGCUUACCAAGGCAUUGACGGGUAGCCGGCCUGAGAGGGUGACCGGCCACAUUGGGACUGAGAUACGGCCCAGUCGCCUACGGGAGGCAGCAGUGGGGAAUAUUGCACAAUGGGCGGAAGCCUGAUGCAGCAACGCCGCGUGCGGGAUGACGGCCUUCGGGUUGUAAACCGCUUUCGCCUGUGACGAAGCGUGAGUGACGGUAAUGGGUAAAGAAGCACCGGCUAACUACGUG